UACGAAGGGGGCUAGCGUUGCUCGGAAUCACUGGGCGUAAAGGGUGCGUAGGCGGGUCUUUAAGUCAGGGGUGAAAUCCUGGAGCUCAACUCCAGAACUGCCUUUGAUACUGAGGAUCUUGAGUUCGGGAGAGGUGAGUGGAACUGCGAGUGUAGAGGUGAAAUUCGUAGAUAUUCGCAAGAACACCAGUGGCGAAGGCGGCUCACUGGCCCGAUACCGACGCUGAGGCACGAAAGCGUGGGGAGCAAACAGG
rnacentral:rRNA from 1 species